CAGUCGCCGCGGUAAUACGGAGGGUGCAAGCGUUAAUCGGAAUUACUGGGCGUAAAGCGCACGCAGGCGGUCUGACAAGUCAGAUGUGAAAUCCCCGGGCUUAACCUGGGAACUGCAUUUGAAACUGUCAGGCUGGAGUCUUGUAGAGGGGGGUAGAAUUCCAGGUGUAGCGGUGAAAUGCGUAGAGAUCUGGAGGAAUACCGGUGGCGAAGGCGGCCCCCUGGACAAAGACUGACGCUUAGGUGCGAAAGCGUGGGGAGCAAACAGGAUUAGAUACCCCUGUAGUCCCUGUCUCUUAUAC
rnacentral:rRNA from 1 species